GCUUGCAAACUGAAACUGCUGCUCAAUUACAGGAAAAAAUUGGGAAAGGCAAAAUAUUCAUAAUUCCUCACCGUGACAUACCACUACCGAUUCAGAUGGAGCAGAUACACACGGCACAAGAAGAAUCAGAAUUUAGACCAGAAAUUCCAGGUCAAGUGCAUGCAGAAACAAGUUAUCAGGGAGCGCAGGCAACAUUGUCACAGGAGCCACAUGUAGAUAGGCUGGAAAACACAAGAGAACCUCAAGCAGAAGUAGAU